rnacentral:rRNA from 1 species
AUUGAACGCUGGCGGCAGGCCUAACACAUGCAAGUCGAACGAGUGGCGGACGGGUGAGUAAUGUCUGGGAAACUGCCUGAUGUAGGGGGAUAACUCCUGGAAAAGGUAGCUAAUACCGCAUACCAUCAGAUGUGCGCAGAUGGGAUUAGCUAUUAGGUGGGGUAACGGCUCACCUCGGCGACGGUCCCUAGCAGGUCUGCGAGGAUGACCAGCGACCCUGGAAAUGAGACCCGGUCCAGACGCCUACGGGAGGCAGCAGUGGGGAAUAGUGCACAAUGGGCGCAAGCCGAAUGCAGCCAUGCCGCGUGUAUGAAGAAGGCCGUCGGGUUUUAAAGUACUUUCAGCGGGGAGGCGUUACCCGCAGAAGAAGCACCGGCUAACUCCGUGCCAGCAGCCGCGGUAAUUC